rnacentral:rRNA from 1 species
GAUGAACGCUAGCGGCAGGCUUGAUACAUGCAAGGCGAGGGGGCAGCAAUGUCACCGUCGUACGGGUGCGUAACGCGUAUGCAACCUACCUAUCACUGGGGGAUAGCCCGGGGAAACCCGGAUUAAUACCGCAUAAUACAGGGGGCCCACAUGGGUAUAUUUGUUAAAGAUUUAUCGGUGGUAGAUGGGCAUGCGUUCGA